rnacentral:rRNA from 1 species
UACGAAGGGGGCUAGCGUUGUUCGGAAUUACUGGGCGUAAAGGGCGCGUAGGCGGUACUUCAAGUCAGGCGUGAAAGCCCCGGGCUCAACCUGGGAACCGCGCUUGAGACUGGAGAACUAGAGUUCGGGAGAGGAUGGUGGAAUUCCCAGUGUAGAGGUGAAAUUCGUAGAUAUUGGGAAGAACACCGAUGGCGAAGGCAGCCAUCUGGACCGACACUGACGCUGAGACGCGAAAGCCAGGGGAGCAAACGGG